rnacentral:rRNA from 1 species
ACGGGAGGCAGCAGUAGGGAAUAUUGCACAAUGGGGGAAACCCUGAUGCAGCGACGCCGCGUGAGCGAUGAAGUAUUUCGGUAUGUAAAGCUCUAUCAGCAGGGAAGAUAAUGACGGUACCUGACUAAGAAGCCCCGGCUAACUACGUGCCAGCAGCCGCGGUAAUACGUAGGGGGCAAGCGUUAUCCGGAUUUACUGGGUGUAAAGGGAGUGUAGAUGGCAUGGCAAGUCAGAUGUGAAAGCUCGGGGCUCAACCCCGGAACUGCAUUUGAAACUGUCAAGCUGGAGUGCAGGAGAGGAAAGUGGAAUUCCUAGUGUAGCGGUGAAAUGCGUAGAUAUUAGGAAGAACACCAGUGGCGAAGGCGGCUUUCUGGACUGUAACUGACAUUGAGGCUCGAAAGCGUGGGGAGCAAACAGGAUUAGAUACCCUGGUA